CGACACGUGACUCCUCACUCUCAAUAGGAAUCUAGCUGUGGGACAUGGUUGCUCGUCAUCAGCUACUAUGUUCCAAAAAAAAAAAACAGCAUUCAUGACGUGCCCCUAAAUCGAUCGCAAAAAUUUUGAAACCACAAAUGGAGAAAUUUAAAGAAAUGUCUCGCUUGUGCGCAUCGUAGCCUAUAGUGGCAGUGAAUACCGAAAGACACACAGUUCCACCCUACACAAUGAGUAGCCUCGAUAGAGUAUGGUGAAAACAAACCGAAAUGUAAUGUAUUAUUCCACAACAAUCCUGACCGCUGGUUUCUGUGGAGGAUAUUUCUUAUUAAUCUUAAUUCAGCAUGUUGGGCGAGUAAAAAUAAUGCAGCAAACUGGUCAUCAAUACAACAAAAUAAAGAAUUUAUUAACUUACUGCGUCUGAUCUGGUUUUAGAGUCUUUCGAAGCAACAUGUCCGCUCUCUGACUGAGCCAUUCUUGUAUUCUGAUUUUUUAAACCUUUAUUCGACACUUUUGUGUAUUCGGAGGUAGGCGUAGAUCCACAGAAGAUACGCUUCAUACUUCUAACAUUACACAUCAACUUACUCUGUCUUUUAAUGCAGCAAUCUCUUCCGGGAAAGUGGAACAUGCGCGGAGGACGCGGACAGCAGUCAGUGUGCAAUGGACAGGUACAUCCUUUCUAUUGACAAUGCUGAUGCAAUUGUGGAGUAUAUUGGAGAUCUCUUAAAAGGAACAGAGAGAAACCAGAAGGAUUUUGUGGAUGAGCUGCUGCAGAGAAUGGCAUUGGUGUCAGAUGCAAGUGCCUGAUGUUCAAGAGUGUGUCUAUAAGAAAGAGGCAAUCAUGGGCACAUAUUAAGAGUGGCACGGUUCAACUUUUUCACGGUGCGAAGGCAGAACGUGGUACACAUCCCAUAGGGGGGCGCCUGUGUAUUACUCCUGCUGCUAACUGACCAAUCCUCAAGAGAUUGCAGAGGUAGAGGCCAUGUACCGUCACAUUUACAAAGAAGAGCCCAAGUUUCCUACGGAGUAUCCCACAUGCUGUCUGCUGGGCUGCGUGAACGUCACAGAUUGUCUCUUUCAGGAGCAAUUCAUGGAACAGUAUCCCCAGAUCGGUGAGGAGUCGACUUCUUCAUUUGUCUUCAUUUGCUCCAACCCCCAGGAGUUGGUGGUGAAAUUUCCCAUGAAAGGGAAACACAAGAUUUGGAAACUGGAGAGCCAGAGCCACCGAAGUGCCAAGAAGUGUUUAAUGCAGCCAGCGUGACCUAAACAAAGCCACGGUGAUCAAGAGACGAGAAACGAAGAGUAGCUUUGGAAGCCUCAUGUUGCCUGUGUCAUGCAGCAGCAGGAAUCACCAUGUCACAUAUGGGACUAAUGGUGACAUCAGUAGCACAGCAAAUGCACAAUCAUUCCCUGAUUAAAUGUUAUUGCUUUUUCUGCAAUAAAAGGCUAAAGACUA